GACGUAGGGUGCGAGCGUUGUCCGGAUUUAUUGGGCGUAAAGAGCUCGUAGGCGGCUUGUUGCGUCGACUGUGAAAACCCGCGGCUUAACCGCGGGCUUGCAGUUGAUACGGGCAGGCUAGAGUUCGGUAGGGGAGACUGGAAUUCCUGGUGUAGCGGUGAAAUGCGCAGAUAUCAGGAGGAACACCGGUGGCGAAGGCGGGUCUCUGGGCCGAUACUGACGCUGAGGAGCGAAAGCGUGGGGAGCGAUCCGG
rnacentral:rRNA from 1 species